rnacentral:lncRNA from 1 species
ACCUAUUGAGGUUAGAUGCCUCACUGCCUCGUCCAGCCCUGGCCCUGCUCCACUCUCCUCUCCAGAUGUGGGACUUUAUAUUUCUCUAUACCUGGCUGCAGUGCCACAGAUUCAUCAGCUGAAAACAUGCGGGAGGACUGGGCCCACUGGCCUUCCCACUGUCAUUCACCACCACCAGCCCUUUGAGAGCCUGCCAUUCUGGAACCUUCUUUUCCAGCCACAGUCUUAAGAUGAUGAGCAACCUCUGCAGAAAGAAUGUAAAGUUACAACACGCACACAGAUCCCAUCAAGAUGAGAGUGAGUGGAGAUGAUGCCCUAUUUCCAAGCAGCUCAGAGUGCAUGUGUGCCAGACACGAGCGGACUGCCGGAGAUAGCUGACACAGAUCCGAGGACACAGAAGGAGGCUCUUUAAAAAGCCAGAGCAACAGCUAGCAUGUGAGAGGUCUGAUUAAUCCACCAAGGGCUUAUCUAUGCAUCAACAAACAGCGAUGGUCUGUGUCUUGUUCCCUGGAUACUUCCUGGCUCAUGCAAGACACUCGGUAUUUAUUUGUUAGAUGAGCGAUAAAUACAUGAAUACUUAGACUCAUUUGUCUCAAAUUGCCUGAGGUUUUAACUACCCCAACCAGAUAUUUUGGAAUCAUAAACACCCAGGCAUUGAAUAUUUAAAUACAUAUGCAAACACCUGGAGUUCACUAA